rnacentral:rRNA from 1 species
CCUACGGGAGGCAGCAGUAGGGAAUAUUGCUCAAUGGGGGAAACCCUGAAGCAGCAACGCCGCGUGGAGGAUGAAGGUUUUCGGAUUGUAAACUCCUUUUGUUAGAGAAGAUAAUGACGGUAUCUAACGAAUAAGCACCGGCUAACUCCGUGCCAGCAGCCGCGGUAAUACGGAGGAUGCAAGCGUUACUCGGAAUCACUGGGCGUAAAGGGCGCGUAGGCGGGAUAGCAAGUCAGAUGUGAAAUCCUAUGGCUUAACCAUAGAACUGCAUUUGAAACUGUUAUUCUAGAGUAUGGGAGAGGUAGGUGGAAUUCUUGGUGUAGGGGUAAAAUCCGUAGAGAUCAAGAGGAAUACUCAUUGCGAAGGCGACCUGCUAGAGCAUAACUGACGCUGAUGCGCGAAAGCGUGGGGAGCAAACAGGAUUAGAUACCCGAGUAGUC